UACGGAGGAUGCGAGCGUUAUCCGGAUUUAUUGGGUUUAAAGGGUGCGUAGGCGGUAAUGUAAGUCAGUGGUGAAAUCCUGCAGCUCAACUGUAGAACUGCCAUUGAUACUGCUUUACUUGAAUAUAAUUGAGGUAGGCGGAAUGUGUUGUGUAGCGGUGAAAUGCUUAGAUAUCACACAGAAUACCGAUUGCGAAGGCAGAUUACUAACAAUAUACUGACGCUGAGGGACGAAAGCGUGGGUAGCGAACAGG
rnacentral:rRNA from 1 species